rnacentral:rRNA from 1 species
UUAGCGGCGGACGGGUGAGUAACGCGUGGGUAACCUGCCUUACACUGGGGGAUAACAGUUAGAAAUGACUGCUAAUACCGCAUAAGCGCACAGGGCCGCAUGGUCUGGUGUGAAAAACUCCGGUGGUGUAAGAUGGACCCGCGUCUGAUUAGGUAGUUGGUGGGGUAACGGCCCACCAAGCCGACGAUCAGUAGCCGACCUGAGAGGGUGACCGGCCACAUUGGGACUGAGACACGGCCCAA